UGUAGGUGUGAUUAAAAGCCUCGUUGUCUAAUUUCACAUUCAGUUUUUUUGCCAAUAACGUGCGUUCGUGUACUCACAAAGGAAUGAGGUCCGUUCGGAAUGACCCUGUAGUAUUUUUUUCCUUUUACGGGAACUUAUUUGGACCCGAAAUCUAAUGAAGCUGUUUUUCAAGUUUCCCAACUUCAUUCGUCAAUUAUAAAAUGCUGUUUCUUAAUAAUAAAGCAAAAACGAUACAUUUUGAAUACAAAGGAAACAUUUUAAUUAGCAAUUUCAUGGGACAUCAGGUCAUCACGUCUCGUUGACAGUGCUACAGGUCGGAAAACUUCGCGCAUUUGCCAAAUCUGCAUUUUGUAUAACCCUGUUUCGAUUGGAAAUCACCUGCCAGCACCCUGUAUAUUCGAUGAGUUGCGAGUACAACAACAUGUUGCGCUCAUUUCUGAAUAUUUGGUGGGUGGAAGGAAGCCCAAUGAGUCAUUUGGCUGGCGAAAUGCGUGCGAGCGGCUGGAUAACAAACUCGACCUUCCAGACUAUGCAAUUGAAUG